CUUGAAGCACAUUCUUCCCAGCAAUCCUUUUUCCCACCUGCAAGUGAGGCUCUGAGGGAUUCUUCAGAAAUCAAGACUUUGACCCACUCCAUAUUAUGAAUGCCUCAGCCUACAAAGAGCUUGCCUAACCCAACAUCAAGGGGUGGACACGUGAUGCUGGACUUCCAGAGCAAAAAUGGGUGUUUGAAGAACUUACUCCCAUGAUGCGGCAGUCAAGGAGAUGCACAGUAGAGGAUCAAAAAGCUGACAACUUGGCCUCCCCUGGGUCGCUUCCAGGGGAGCGCGGCUUCACCGCUCGAACCAGCUGGCCAAGUUCCGUAUGCUCUUGGGCCGGUCCCCAGCCCUCUGUACAGCCUGGCACACCCGGCACCAAGGCUCGUCCCAGAAGGAGGUGAUGUGGACAGCGUAGCUCCGGCGCCAGUGGAAGUAGCGGCGAUAGACCGCGGGGUUGCGGUCGAGGAAAAGCAGGUACGAGGCCAGGGAGGAGGCACUUGGGAAGUCGUCCACGUGGAUGAAGGCGCCGCGGGGCACAAAGCGCUCGUAGUUGGCACGGUCUGGGCCCAGCACCACCGGCACCGCCCCAGCGAGCAACGCGUUGCGCCAGAGCUUCUCGGUGAUAUAAUCCAGGUGCUGCGAGUUCUCGAAAGCCAGGUAGAACUUGUAGCGGGCCACUGUGUGCAGGAGCCCAAUUUCGGGCACCGGCUCCCCCGGCCUCGGCGCCACCCGCGCCGCCCGCCCG
rnacentral:lncRNA from 1 species